UUGGAUUAUCAUCUCAACCGUUGAAAUUGUCCCCUUGGAACUCUAGAGUGCAUACGCGGAAGAAGGAAUAGGCGAUCAAAGGUGAUGUUAGGUUGUAGCAGUGUUGAGCUUGGAGCGUGCAGCGGUCUUUUGGAGCAUGAUUUUUGAUUGAUGUAUUUUCCUUUCAGCAUUGUACUCAAAUGAUUAUAUUAGUGGAUAUGUGAUGAUAAUGUUGCCUUUGUGAA